CCAAUUCUACCACUACUGCCACUAAUGCAGCCGGAACAGUGUCUAACACUACAGACAAUCCAGCAGAACCCCUCUCCACCCCAGCUGUGUCCACUGCUGCUGCCCAUAGUACGUCCAUCACGACCACUGCCAGCGAGACAACAGUGUUUAAUUCUACCACAUCCACCAGAGCAUCCAGUACUACUGCUAUUUCUCCAGAAUCACCUGCUACACAAAACAUGUCUGAUGCUGUGACUCCUGCCUCUAACACAACCAGCACAGUGUCUAACACUACAGCCAGUCCAGCAGUAUC